GGGAUGUUCGUGCGGCGCGGCGAAGCCGUGCUCGCAGUGUUCAUCCCAUCCUCGCAGGGAAGCUAGUGCUAUUCAUUUAGUGCUAGUGGAACUGCGUCUUUUACUGUGAAAAAAUUAGAGUGUUUAAAGCAGGCGUUUCGCUUGAAUACAUUAGCAUGGAAUAAUAAGAUAGGACUUCGGUCUAUUUUGUUGGUUGCAGCCCGAGGUA
rnacentral:rRNA from 1 species